GACGAACGCUGGCGGCGUGCCUAAUACAUGCAAGUCGAACGCACAGUUUAUACCGUAGCUUGCUACACCAUAGACUGUGAGUUGCGAACGCGUGAGUAACGCGUAGGUAACCUGCCUGGUAGCGGGGGCUAACUAUUGGAAACGAUAGCUAAUACCACAUAAUAUUCAUUAUUGCAUGAUAAUUAAUUGAAUUGUGCAAUUGCACCACUACCUUAUGGCUUUGCGUUGUAUUAGCUAGUAGGUGAGGUAACGGCUCCCCUAGGCGACGCUACAUAGCCGACCGGAGAGGGUGAUCGGACCCACUGGGACUGAGACACGGCACAGAUUCCUACGGGCGGCAGCAGUAGGGAAUCUUCGGCAAGAGUCGGAAGUCUGGCCGCACAACGCCGAGUGAGUGCCGACGGUUUCCGGAUCGUGAAGCUCUGUUGUACGCGAAGAAAGGGUGUGCGCGUGGAACGUACACUGUCCGACGGUAACUUACCAGAAAGGGACGGCUAACUACGUG
rnacentral:rRNA from 1 species